GCUGACAUUACAUAUGAGUCAUUCUUUGAAAGUGCUAUGCACGGGACUGCUUCUUCAAGGUUAACACCUGAGACAUCAUUAGCCAUAAGAAGACCACUGUUUGGUUGCCAAUGCUGUGGAACGGCACUGGCAGUACCCUGAAUGUCAUCAUAUUGAACAGUGAUUUCCACAGCUUCUGAAUUCCAUUUGACCCGAGUGCCAAAAUGCCAACACCAGAGUUUGUAUACAGAAGUCGAACAACCUUGCUGGAAGAAUCUGUGCUGUCAGGCAAGGUAACCAUUCGGCAGUCACCAGGAUCCACAAUUUCAGCCAACUGCCACGGCUUUGCUUUAUCAAUUACAUCAUCCACAGUUCUGGGCUUUUCCAUGCUUCUAUUCAAGGUAUCAACCCCAUUAAGAAUUGGAGAAGGCCUGACAGGAGAGCUCC
rnacentral:misc_RNA from 1 species